GAUGAAGAACGUAGCGAAAUGCGAUAAGUAAUGUGAAAUGCAGAAUUCAGUGAAUCAUCGAGUCUUUGAACGCCCAUUGCGCCCCCUGGUAUUCCGGGGGGCAUGCCUGUCCGAGCGUCAUUGCUGCCCUCAAGCACGGCUUGUGCGUUGGGCCCCCGCCCCCCGGCUUCGGGGGGCGGGCCCGAAAGGCAGCGGCGGCACCGCGUCCGGUCCUCGAGCGUAUGGGGCUUCGUCACCCGCUCUGUAGGCCCGGCCGGCGCCCGCCGGCGACCCCAAUCAAUCUUUCCAGGUUGACCUCGGAUCAGGUAGGGAUACCCGCUGAACUUAAGCAUAUCAAUAAGCGGAGGA
rnacentral:misc_RNA from 1 species